GGCCCUUUAUUCCAGUCGUUUUAAGUGCAUAGCUCAAAGUACUGGUGAUUGAACCCGGGGUCUUCACAAAAGGAUAAAGGCAUCCUCAGCCGUUCCUCCCUUUGAGCCAGGGCCUAGCUAUGUAUUCCAGACUGGCCUCGGACCCGUAGUGAUCUUUCUGCCUUCGCCCUUUACAAUCUGAGAUUACAGAACCAGAGAUUGAACUGAGGCCCUUGCGCUUGCC